CCAGGACACAUUCAGCAUAGCUUCAGUAGCAAUUCUCCACUAUAAAAUGGAACUUCAGAAACACACACGUCAGUGUCAGGUUUUCAUAUCAAUAUUGCAAGGCAAAGCAUCGAAUGGUCAACAAAAUACGACAACUUCCUUAGGUGUCAUAUAGUAUUUAAGAGAAGAGACGAUAUACAAAGGGCAUCAGAAGAUUUGCUGGAAACCCCCAUCACUGGCUAUAUUCAGAAAACAAAAAGGCACAGAAAGAAGAGCUCUUCUUUCUCACAGCUGUGGAAUCUCUCCACCUCCCACCCCGGAAAAAUGCCAAAAAGACUAAGUGUCUUUCUGAGACACUGUAAGACCUUUGUUUGUCUGGCUUCUGUGGUCAGUAUUUAGUUAACAGAACUUUAAAAAAAUGUAUGUUUUAUUUGAUUUUCGUUGAUUGUAUGUAUUCCUUCACAUUUAUUGUUAUACUCUUAUUAUCUUUGUGAUAGGUAGGUAAGAAUUAAAAGAAUUAAAAGACAUGAUAUAUUAACCCUUCUGCUUUGAAAUAAAAAUUAAAAACUUGCUGGAUUUUAGAUAAUAAAACAAACCCAACCACUCCUUCAACUUUAGAGUAAUGUUAAUAUAAUGCCACUGAAUACAUAAACCAUAACCAUUGUUAAAUACUUAAAUUGUAACACAAAUGCCCUUUUCAUUCCCGGCUAUUAAGGUAAUUCCUCAGAUUUCAACCUUCAGACUGAUUUCAUGGUAAUUCAUCAUGGACACAAGAUUUUAAGCAAGAUACACAUCCAAAAGGUUUUAUGACCAGCUGCGCUGCAGACAUCUGUGUUCUUUCACAAGAAACAGUGUAUCUGUAAAUGGCAUUAAACAAAGAUUUAAGGGCAUAGUGGUACAGAGUUAAUAAUUUCUUAGCAAGAACUCAGCAGCUGCAAAUGACCAUGUUUUGCAGCAAAAAAAAGUAUUCCUUUAUAUGCAACCCCCAAGUAAAAAAGAACCUACAGACUGUGUCAGUAAUGUAUAUUACCACCAAUUAAGCAUAUACUUCAAUUUUUAUUAGGAGUCAGGGGGUGGGAGUUAAGUACCCCAGUAUGCAAUUGGCUAUUUGAACGUAAGCAAGUGGCCCUAAAUUAGAAAAACUGUCAGCUUUUGUUUUUCUUUUAAUUUCAACAGCCAUGAUCAGAUUGUAAGCUUUGACCUAUUAGAUACAAAAGACAGUGAUGCAGCAUUAAUAUGGCACAGUACACAGUAUUAAAAUGUCUAUGUAAAAAAAAAACAUGAUUAGAUUCCAUUUCAAUCAUUUCAAUCCAUCAAUUUGUUGUCUUACACAUUUCUGGGACUAUGAGUAUUUACCAGCAGGUGGAGUCAAACAUCAAACAGCGAGAGACGCUCACUAGUAUGGGGGGGGGGGAUACAAUAACAAAAAUACGCCAAAUGAAUUGAAAAUUCAAUCACUUUUUGUGUGUAAUUGUUUUAGAUUAAGUUACCUUGCCAAACUGUUAAAAUAUACCAAUAGUUGACAAGAUAUUUUAAAUGCUUGUGUUGUUUAUAUGUAAUACAUUUCAGUUCCCCAUUCUCUCUAUCUUUGUCUGCACUCUCAGAGAAAACCACCCUAGAUAACCAACAGGCAGAAAUAAUACACUUUUGCUAAUAUAAUUGAACAGAGUAUGAAUGUCUUUGAUAAUUCAACCAUUCAGCAUUUCAAGAAACUGGUGAACCCAGCAACAAAACAAACUAUCUAAACAAGUAAAGAUUUUAACUUAUGGCUCAAAUUAUAUUACAAAGUGGUAUAUGAAAAUACCAAUACAUUUUUCAACAAUAUUGUUUGAAGAAGUUUUUAAUGUGCUACCAUGUACAUGUAUAAGCUUCAAGAUUAUGAGGGCUCAUCCAGACGACUGUAUAAUGUGUGACAUGAUUGCUUUGUGUUCUCAUUAUUUUUCGGUCGUCCAGAUGACCUCACAUGCUUUUGCGCAUUUUCACGUGAUUAAAUCCACUUUGGCAAAACUGCAAAAAAUGCGAUUUGCUUUUUUAAAUUGGGAACCAUCUGCUGUGCCUUCAGCCGCUCGGAUGCAAUACCGUGGACUUUACAGCUGUGGGCGGUUCUUGGGCGUUUCCUUCCCUCACUCCCAGCCAAUCACGUAUUUCCACUUU